rnacentral:lncRNA from 1 species
UAUCCAAUCAUAUAUAACUAAAAUUAAAAUUUUAUAUGAAUAAUAAUUUUUUAUUUUAAAAAUAUUCUGUAUAUUUUCUCAAUCAUACAAUUAAUAGUCAUGUAGGCAACGGCGGGCAUAUGCUGUUACUUGGUAAUUUGGAGGGCUUCCGGCUUGGCCACUUAGUGUGAGAGACAGAAAAAGAGAAAGAGAGAAAUAUAUUAAAAAUUUAGAGCUUUGUGAAUGAAAGAAAGAAAGAAAAAAUGUAUAAAUUUAGUAAAAUUUUGCUCUUUUAUUUGUCUAUUGGAUUUGUUUUUAUGGGCCAACAACAUUGGCCUAAUUUUUACUAAACUAAGAUUAUUCGCUCAGCCUAUAUAUAAUUAAAAUAUAUUAUUUUUAUAUAUUUUUUAAUAUAUAUAUAUAUAUAGUGUAGAACUACUAUACUAUCGAAAAUAUAGAGGAUUUGAUGUUUUCGAAUUUUUGACCCUUUGAUUAAGAAUUGUAUGGUUGGGAUGAUUGCGAUCCCCCCUAGAAUUAAAUAAUACUUCUAGGAUUGAGUGGUCCCUACAAGGUAAUAAUAGUAUUAAUCCAAAGAUAAGAAAUGAUUAAAGGAGUUGAUCUAAGAAUCAAAAAAUCGAAAGCACAAGAUCCUCUAUACUUUCGAUAGCAUAGUAGCUCUACUAUAUAUAUAUAUAUAUAUAUAGAGUCCGACUACUAUUCUAUUAAUAGCACGAAGUACUUAGUGCUACCAAGUUUUCCGCCGUUAGAUCUACUCUUUUGAUUAUUUUCACAUGUUAGAUCAUACUAUUCAACCAACCCAUCCACUCAACCCUAGGGGACCCACAUCAUCCUAACCGUACAUCUUUUAAUCCAAUGAUCAAAAACUUGGUGGCACAAAUGACUUGGUGCUAUUAAUAGUAUAGUAGCCUAGUUCUAUAUGUAUAUAUAUGUAUAUAUGUAUAUAUGUGUGUGUGUGUGUGUGUGUGUGUUGUGUGUGUGUGUGUGUGUGUGUGUGUGUGUGUGUGUGUGUGCUGGAAUAUUAUUAAUAGUAAAACGCUCUUUUUGCUAUCAAGUUUUUAAUCCUUGGAUGAAAAAUUGUAAGGUCAGGAUGAUAUUAGUCGGUUAGAAUUGAGUGGUCCCCCUAGGGUUGAGUGGUUCCCACUAGGUUAUAGUAUUUAAUCCAAUGGUUAGAAAUAAUGAAAAGAGUUGAUCCAAAGACUAAAAAACUGGUAGCAACAGUGGGAUUAUGCUAUUAAUAGUAGCCCAGUCCAACACACACACACACUCUCUCUCUCUCUCUCUCUCUCUCUCUCUCUCUCUCUCUCU